AACGUAGGACGCAAGCGUUAUCCGGAGUUACUGGGCGUAAAGCGCGGGCAGGCGGCUCGAUGCGUCUGAUGUGAAAUCUCCUCGCUCAACGGGGAGAGGCCAUUGGAAACGGUCGAGCUGGAGGGCAGUAGAGGUAGGCGGAAUUCCGGGUGGAGGGGUGAAAUGCGUAGAGAUCCGGAGGAACACCAGAGGCGAAGGCGGCCUACUGGGCUGCACCUGACGCUGAGCCGCGAAAGCCAGGGGAGCGAACGGG
rnacentral:rRNA from 1 species